GACUUCCGCAAGGACACUCGUAGAGGUGCUGCAUGGCUGUCGUCAGCUCGUGUCGUGAGAUGUUGGGUUAAGUCCCGCAACGAGCGCAACCCUUGUCUGCUGUUGCCAUCAGGUAAUGCUGGGCACUCUGCAGAGACUGCCGGUGAUAAACCGGAGGAAGGUGGGGAUGACGUCAAGUCAGCAUGGCCUUUAUGUCUGGGGCUACACACGUGCUACAAUGGCCGAUACAAACCGUCGCAAAACCGCAAGGUGGAGCUAAUCGGAGAAAAUCGGUCUCAGUUCGGAUUGUAGGCUGCAACUCGCCUGCAUGAAGUUGGAAUCGCUAGUAAUCGCGGAUCAGCACGCCGCGGUGAAUACGUUCCCGGGCCUUGUACACACCGCCCGUCACAUCACGAAAGCCGGUUGUACUAGAAGUCGCCACAUCAACCCGCAAGGGAGAGAGGCGCCUAAGGUAUGGUCGGUGAUUGGGGUGAAGUCGUAACAAGGUAAGCGUAGUGCU
rnacentral:rRNA from 1 species